rfam:Mus musculus chromosome 18, GRC primary reference assembly.
GGGGAGAUGGCUCAGUGGUUAAGAGCACUGGCUGCUCUUCCAGAGGUCCUGAGUUCAAUUCCCAGCAACCACA